rnacentral:rRNA from 1 species
UGGACCUCGAAUCAGGUAGG